UGGAUCGGUGUUCAUAUUUCAUUGUGAACUAUAAUACAAAAAUUUUGUACCUUCAAUUAUCACAUUCUGUACCUACAGUUAACAGUUUCUAAAACUUAAUUUGGACUA